GCAGUUUUCUCAUUGAAGAACUACAAAUGAGUAAAUCAGAUGUGACUGCAUUCAAAAGGAAUCUUGGUUUUGGUAAAAAUAGCAUAGGGAAGAAACCAAUGAGUCAAUUAGAUGAGGAAGAAGAGUUUGAAGAUGACUAUGAGUUAGAUUCUCCACAUGGUAGUCCAUUGUAUGAUGAGCCAUGUGAUAUUUGUUCUGAUGAUGAAGGAAACAACUCAGGCUAGGAUGCUUGGUUGGAAGAUAAAUCGGGUGGUGAUGUCGACAAGAACAAAUCAGAUUGUAUUGAAGGCGGAUGUAGUGGAAAUAGAGGGGCGCCCUUGGUGCCAGUGCGUCUGCUCCUGCUACGACAGCGUCCAGUCUUCCACAAUCGACCCAUAUUCGUCCAAGAUCAAAUAGAAAAAGGAAGCCAACACACAAGAGUGUUUAUGAUCUAUAAAAGGAUGUGGAAGAGAAAUGGCCACCGGAACAUGGCACACUUUUGGACAGAAUGAUCACUUUUGUUGGGGAUUCUGAUUUUGGAAAGAAUGAAUUGAUUUUCAAGUGCUUUUGUUGAUGACAUGUGCUUGAAAAUGUACUAUUUCGGACUUUUAUUAUUUUGAUAAACUAUGCUAUAUGCACUUAUC
rnacentral:lncRNA from 1 species